rnacentral:rRNA from 1 species
UGGGGAAUAUUGCACAAUGGAGGGAACUCUGAUGCAGCGACGCCGCGUGAACGAAGAAGGCUUUCGAGUCGUAAAGUUCUUUUAUAUGGGAAGAUAAUGACGGUACCAUAAGAAAAAGCCCCGGCUAACUACGUGCCAGCAGCCGCGGUAAUACGUAGGGGGCUAGCGUUGUCCGGAAUCACUGGGCGUAAAGGGUUCGCAGGCGGAAAUGCAAGUCAGGUGUUAAAGGCAGUAGCUUAACUACUGUAAGCAUUUGAAACUGCAUAUCUUGAGAAGAGUAGAGGUAAGUGGAAUUUUUAGUGUAGCGGUGAAAUGCGUAGAUAUUAAAAAGAAUACCGGUGGCGAAGGAGGCUUACUGGGCUCAUUCUGACGCUGAGGAACGAAAGCGUGGGUAGCAAACAGG